GACGAACGCUGGCGGCGUGCCUAACACAUGCAAGUCGAGCGGGGUGUAGCAAUACACCUAGCGGCGAACGGUCGAGUAACACGUAAGCAACCUGCCCUGCAGUGGGGGAUAACAGCGGGAAACUGCUGCUAAUACCGCAUAGGCAUAUUUCUGGGCAUCCAGGGAUGUGUAAAGGCUAGACUGCUGCAGGAGGGGCUUGCGGCCUAUUAGCUAGUCGGUGGGGUAACGGCCUACCGAGGCGACGAUGGGUAGCUGGUCUGAGAGGAUGGUCAGCCGGAUCGGGACUGAGACACGGCCCGGACUCCUACGGGGGGCAGCAAUCAGGAAUAUUGCGCAAUGGGGGAAACCCUGACGCAGCGACGCCGCGUGCGGGAUGAAGGCCUUCGGGUCGUAAACCGCUGUUGUGGGAGACGAAUGACUGUCGAUGAGGCAGUGGAGACGGUAUCUCACGAGGAAGCCCCGGCUAACUACGUG
rnacentral:rRNA from 1 species